rnacentral:ncRNA from 1 species
GCCGCACUUAUAUAAGUUCCUUGCCUCCAUGGGAAGCGGCUGCCCUGACAGGAGGCUGAUUAAUCCGUAAGGAGCAAUU